CCAGGAUGUAGUUAUAUGGAUUUAUGAUCCGGAGAAUGCUGAACCUUCAGAACGAAACAACCUAGCAACUACACCAUCACUAUAUUCAGGAACACUGAGCAAGCAGUUCUGGAAUAUGGGGAUAUCACCUGAAGUCAAGACACGUGUAAAAAGUAACAGCUAUGUUCCAACUGCAUUCUCAGAAGACGGGUACCAUUCAUUUUUGUUUUAAAGAAUAUUACUAUAUUUUGUAAAAAUAAUUACUCAGUAUGAUUACAUAUAAUCUUACAGUAUGUCUAUAUUAUGUAAAAGAGUGCUAUUUUUCUUCUAUUGUGUGUAUAAUUUGUAUAUAGCAUAAUCCAACAAGGAAAAUUCAUGC